CCUGUCUCAUUUCCUACUAGGGGGCCGGCUCGCCUCGGCCCCUCCCAGCCGCGGCCCUCCUGCCUGGACCUGCCCUUUUCUCCUCCCGCUGCUUGCUUCCGAGGCUUGAGGAGGAGCGGAAAAGGGGGAGAAGGGCUCGACUUCCCAGCCUAUCAUGGAUAGAAGAAUGGGCCUUCAAAGUGGAGUGAUUUCAAUCAUGACUAAUUGCAUGCUCUCGAAUUUUUAAAAAUGAUCAGGAACUGUCUUGUAUUUGAAGAAUUAUUACUUCGUGCUUGUAGAAUUGCAUUCUAAACACAUCUGUCCCCACCUCCCAGAAGAGAUACAGCAUUACGAAUGUAACUGAAGCUACAUCAACUCAUCUUCAGUUGUAGCUCUCUCCCCUGUGUUGAUCUCUGAAUUUAUAACAUCAUAUAAAAAUAAAAGUUGACUAUUUCCA